rnacentral:misc_RNA from 1 species
GAUGAAGAACGCAUCGAAAUGCGAUAAGUAAUGUGAAUUGCAGAAUUCAGUGAAUCAUCGAAUCUUUGAACGCACAUUGCGCCCACUAGUAUUCUGGUGGGCAUGCCUGUUCGAGCGUCAUUUCAACCCUCAAGCCUUAGUUGCUUGGUGUUGGGAGCUUAUCUUGCCGAAAGGCGGACAACUCCUUAAAACUAUUGGCGGAGUCGCGGUGACCCCAAGCGUAGUAAAUUUUUUUUUUCUCGCUUUAGGUGUUAACGCUGGCUUUCUAGCCGUUAAACCCUCUAAAUUUUUAGUGGUUGACCUCGGAUCAGGUAGGACUACCCGCUGAACUUAAGCAUAUCAAUAAGCGGAGGA